GGGUUGUGAGGUUAAGCGACUAAGCGUACACGGUGGAUGCCCUGGCAGUCAGAGGCGAUGAAGGACGUGCUAAUCUGCGAUAAGCGUCGGUAAGGUGAUAUGAACCGUUAUAACCGGCGAUUUCCGAAUGGGGAAACCCAGUGUGAUUCGUCACACUAUCAUUAACUGAAUCCAUAGGUUAAUGAGGCGAACCGGGGGAACUGAAACAUCUAAGUACCCCGAGGAAAAGAAAUCAACCGAGAUUCCCCCAGUAGCGGCGAGCGAACGGGGAGCAGCCCAGAGCCUGAAUCAGUGUGUGUGUUAGUGGAAGCGUCUGGAAAGGCGCGCGAUACAGGGUGACAGCCCCGUACACAAAAAUGCACAUGCUGUGAGCUCGAUGAGUAGGGCGGGACACGUGGUAUCCUGUCUGAAUAUGGGGGGACCAUCCUCCAAGGCUAAAUACUCCUGACUGACCGAUAGUGAACCAGUACCGUGAGGGAAAGGCGAAAAGAACCCCGGCGAGGGGAGUGAAAAAGAACCUGAAACCGUGUACGUACAAGCAGUGGGAGCACGCUUAGGCGUGUGACUGCGUACCUUUUGUAUAAUGGGUCAGCGACUUAUAUUCUGUAGCAAGGUUAACCGAAUAGGGGAGCCGAAGGGAAACCGAGUCUUAACUGGGCGUUAAGUUGCAGGGUAUAGACCCGAAACCCGGUGAUCUAGCCAUGGGCAGGUUGAAGGUUGGGUAACACUAACUGGAGGACCGAACCGACUAAUGUUGAAAAAUUAGCGGAUGACUUGUGGCUGGGGGUGAAAGGCCAAUCAAACCGGGAGAUAGCUGGUUCUCCCCGAAAGCUAUUUAGGUAGCGCCUCGUGAAUUCAUCUCCGGGGGUAGAGCACUGUUUCGGCAAGGGGGUCAUCCCGACUUACCAACCCGAUGCAAACUGCGAAUACCGGAGAAUGUUAUCACGGGAGACACACGGCGGGUGCUAACGUCCGUCGUGAAGAGGGAAACAACCCAGACCGCCAGCUAAGGUCCCAAAGUCAUGGUUAAGUGGGAAACGAUGUGGGAAGGCCCAGACAGCCAGGAUGUUGGCUUAGAAGCAGCCAUCAUUUAAAGAAAGCGUAAUAGCUCACUGGUCGAGUCGGCCUGCGCGGAAGAUGUAACGGGGCUAAACCAUGCACCGAAGCUGCGGCAGCGACGCUUAUGCGUUGUUGGGUAGGGGAGCGUUCUGUAAGCCUGCGAAGGUGUGCUGUGAGGCAUGCUGGAGGUAUCAGAAGUGCGAAUGCUGACAUAAGUAACGAUAAAGCGGGUGAAAAGCCCGCUCGCCGGAAGACCAAGGGUUCCUGUCCAACGUUAAUCGGGGCAGGGUGAGUCGACCCCUAAGGCGAGGCCGAAAGGCGUAGUCGAUGGGAAACAGGUUAAUAUUCCUGUACUUGGUGUUACUGCGAAGGGGGGACGGAGAAGGCUAUGUUGGCCGGGCGACGGUUGUCCCGGUUUAAGCGUGUAGGCUGGUUUUCCAGGCAAAUCCGGAAAAUCAAGGCUGAGGCGUGAUGACGAGGCACUACGGUGCUGAAGCAACAAAUGCCCUGCUUCCAGGAAAAGCCUCUAAGCAUCAGGUAACAUCAAAUCGUACCCCAAACCGACACAGGUGGUCAGGUAGAGAAUACCAAGGCGCUUGAGAGAACUCGGGUGAAGGAACUAGGCAAAAUGGUGCCGUAACUUCGGGAGAAGGCACGCUGAUAUGUAGGUGAAGUCCCUCGCGGAUGGAGCUGAAAUCAGUCGAAGAUACCAGCUGGCUGCAACUGUUUAUUAAAAACACAGCACUGUGCAAACACGAAAGUGGACGUAUACGGUGUGACGCCUGCCCGGUGCCGGAAGGUUAAUUGAUGGGGUCAGCGCAAGCGAAGCUCUUGAUCGAAGCCCCGGUAAACGGCGGCCGUAACUAUAACGGUCCUAAGGUAGCGAAAUUCCUUGUCGGGUAAGUUCCGACCUGCACGAAUGGCGUAAUGAUGGCCAGGCUGUCUCCACCCGAGACUCAGUGAAAUUGAACUCGCUGUGAAGAUGCAGUGUACCCGCGGCAAGACGGAAAGACCCCGUGAACCUUUACUAUAGCUUGACACUGAACAUUGAGCCUUGAUGUGUAGGAUAGGUGGGAGGCUUUGAAGUGUGGACGCCAGUCUGCAUGGAGCCGACCUUGAAAUACCACCCUUUAAUGUUUGAUGUUCUAACGUUGACCCGUAAUCCGGGUUGCGGACAGUGUCUGGUGGGUAGUUUGACUGGGGCGGUCUCCUCCUAAAGAGUAACGGAGGAGCACGAAGGUUGGCUAAUCCUGGUCGGACAUCAGGAGGUUAGUGCAAUGGCAUAAGCCAGCUUGACUGCGAGCGUGACGGCGCGAGCAGGUGCGAAAGCAGGUCAUAGUGAUCCGGUGGUUCUGAAUGGAAGGGCCAUCGCUCAACGGAUAAAAGGUACUCCGGGGAUAACAGGCUGAUACCGCCCAAGAGUUCAUAUCGACGGCGGUGUUUGGCACCUCGAUGUCGGCUCAUCACAUCCUGGGGCUGAAGUAGGUCCCAAGGGUAUGGCUGUUCGCCAUUUAAAGUGGUACGCGAGCUGGGUUUAGAACGUCGUGAGACAGUUCGGUCCCUAUCUGCCGUGGGCGCUGGAGAACUGAGGGGGGCUGCUCCUAGUACGAGAGGACCGGAGUGGACGCAUCACUGGUGUUCGGGUUGUCAUGCCAAUGGCACUGCCCGGUAGCUAAAUGCGGAAGAGAUAAGUGCUGAAAGCAUCUAAGCACGAAACUUGCCCCGAGAUGAGUUCUCCCUGACCCUUUAAGGGUCCUGAAGGAACGUUGAAGACGACGACGUUGAUAGGCCGGGUGUGUAAGCGCAGCGAUGCGUUGAGCUAACCGGUACUAAUGAACCGUGAGGCUUAACCUUACAACGCCGAAG
rnacentral:rRNA from 1 species